CCAUCCCUUUUCUUUGCGUCGUCUGGAACUUGGGACAUCAUACUCCAUUGCAUCUGCACAGCAAUCUCCACGAUAGCCAUCGCUGCCGUGUAGCUCAGCAACCAGACCUUCGCGUUCCUCUCCACCGAAGUACCUGCGACAGCAUCCACUACCACCGUGUAUCUUGAGGCAACAUAACCAGGAACACACAAGGAGUGAAGGGACCUAAUAUUGGUACAAAGGAAAAAGGAAAAAGAAGAAGACCUCCCAUAAUUGUGAAGAAGAGCCGUCCUGGGCUCUUGGUCCUCUCCUUGGAAGGGGAAGUAAGAACCCGCAAGAAAACAACUUAGAUCUAAGGUAUGGUUGAGAAAUUCCUCUAAAUGUUUGUAAUCUACAUUUUUUAUAUUAAGUAGAUAAUCUUUUUAUCUUCCAAUUGUUCUAUUUUGUAACUUAUUAUGAUAUGUUACUGACAGUAUCUUUCUUACCAUAGACAAUGGUACGAACAAAGAAUAGUAAGCGAAAGAUAUCAGCCAUAGAUAAUGAUAACAAUACUGCCAAAGAAAAUAGAGCUAAACGACGAAAUGUAACCAUACAAAAGAAAUAUGCUUAUCUAUCUAUUCCCCAUGGUAUGAAAUAUUUCUCACCUGAACAUAUGCAAUAUCUUAAAGAAUCAUAUAUAGGACGAUCAUAUUUUGGUGCUGCAAACCACACAUGUAAAUAUUGCAGUGCAUUGUUUUGGAGUCAAGAAAGUGUGAGACGUGAGGCAAGAUAUAAAGACAAAAAUAUCGUGUAUAGAUUAUGUUGUAAAGAAGGAAAGAUCCGUAUUCCCCCCUUUAAAAAUCCACCUGAAUACUUAGAAAAGUUGUUAGAUUACAAUGGUGAUAGCAGAUCAAAACAUUUCCUUAAAAAAAUAAGAUAUUAUAACAGCCUAUUUGCUUUUACAUCAAUGGGUGCUAAUAUAGACAAAUCAAUAAACCGUGGAGAAGGACCUUAUGUAUUCCGUAUCAAUGGCCAAGUACAUCACCGAAUUGGAGGACUACUUCCAAAACCAAAUUCCAUACCGAAAUUCGCCGAACUAUAUAUCUUUGAUACUGAACACGAGAUUGCAAAUAGAAUGCGCGCUUUGCAACAAGAAGAAAAUGAUGAUAUAGAUAUCAAUCCUAAUAUAGUUCAUGGAUUAAAAGAAAUGCUAGACACAUACAACCCUUUGGUUAAAAAAUUCCGAUUUGCACGAGACCUAUUAGAACAAUAUAAUGGAAUAGAUGUAAG